GAGUAUUGAGUCAUCGAUCUGGAUGCAUGGUUAUUUUCCUUUGGUGUCAGUCAACCAGGCGUGCUUGAGUUGCAUGGUUGUACCUCCCAUUUAUUCCAUGUUUGCUAUUGCAUUACACCUGUUCAUGGUUGGCAUAGUAGAAGUGUGAAGAUUGGUUGAACUGGUAUGAUGGUUUCAGAUCAAAUAAAUUAUGUUUUCAAAAUGUCAUAUGAAAAAUUUAUUAGUAGAUUAGUCACAAAAAACAUACUUCAAUAUGGUUAUACUAUAUUCACAACAAAUUCUGCUAUAAACGCCAAAGUCAAAUACCUUUACAAGAAACCAUGUUGAUAAGUUGAUAUCCUAAACAAACAAAAAGAGGGUAGUAUGUGUGUUGUGCAAUGCAUUGGGAGAACAGAUGCAUUUAUUGAUCAAUGGGCAACUCAGUUCACUGAGCAUAUUUUCAAUGAGACAUUAUAUGGUACUGUGGUGUUAAGUAUAUGAGAUGGAAACAGCACACAGUGAAAAGCUUGUUCAGGACAUUUAUACGAAAUCCAUGCUAUCAUAUUGGGCCAUUUAUUUAGUGAUUAUGAUACUUCAAACAAAUAUUACCAUUAUAUAUGAUCGGUUUGUGUCCCCCCCCCCCCCCCCCCCUAAUAUAAAAAUCGGGCAAAUCUGUUGCCAUCCUUUCGAAAACAAAUAAUCACUAAAUAAGAUACCAGGUACAUGCAGAAUAUUUUACAAAUGCCUUCCAUAGAAAUAGUACUAGGAACUGAUUUCUGAACUUUAACCGUAUGAAACAUUGGAUGGGACGAUAUAUUCGUCAGAGAAGUACCUAUAGUGGUAGAAACUAAGAGCGACAUUUUUUUGUUAUGGGAACAAAUGAAGCACAUAGGAUAAGGAAGGUACUACAGCUCCAUUUCCAAUUAAAAGGUAGGGUUCUAAUGAAGAGGAAAGCGUGCAGGUGCAGACCUGCUAGUGAACGGAGGCUGUGGCGAGGAGAAUGCCGAGCUCGAGCUGCCGAUUCGGCGCAGACGGCUGAUGCCAUCGGAGAAUGAGGGGUGGCUAUGGAGGAUUGGAGGGUGGAGAGCCGUAGACGAGGUAGCCGGCCGGAGCCGGAGAUCGGAUACUGACGUAGUAGGUCCCACGUUCUACAUCUCCCACGGCCCAACUUGAUAGCGGUAAGCGGAAACUGUCAGUGGUCUUUUUUAGUGGGCCGAAACCAUUUUCGGGACAUCCGAAUCGGUGGGCCGGAUUGGAUCGUUGGAGAAACAGCGUAAAAGGAGAGACAGCGAAGAGCCGACGAAGCCGAAGCAGAGCAAGCACGACUGCACAACGGACAGAAAAAUGGCAGGGAAAACCGGUGGACUCAAAGGGUUGCCCUCAUCGGCGGCGGCGCCAAGCCGCCAACAGCACGAUCGCAAGUUCACGGGCUUGACUCCGGGAAGACAUGUAUUUCAGUCAUUCCACAUCCAGGUCUUCGGCGACACUACCAAUGGUUGCAAGUUGCAACUCAACCGGCGCGCCGCCUUCUUUGCCUAUCAUGGUUGCUUAUUUUCUGACUUUUGCUCUCGAAUUCGGAGUAAUACUAAGAUAUACUCGCAGUUGUGUUAAAGUGUUUAAGAGGCUCAGCUGAUCUACAUCUACCAAGGUGUAUAAUUGGGUAUUAAUAUUUUGUGAACUAAGGGGGUGUUUGUUUGAGAUUAUAAUCUAUCCAAAUUAUAUAAUCUUACAACUUUUGAACUAAGAGUUAGUUCAAAA
rnacentral:lncRNA from 1 species